UACGAAGGGGGCGAGCGUUGUUCGGAUUUACUGGGCGUAAAGGGCGCGCAGGCGGCGCAUUUUUGUCAGGCGUGAAAGCCCCCGGGCUUAACCUGGGAACUGCGCGGGAAACUGUCGGACUUGAGUUCGGGAGAGGGAAGCGGAAUUCCGGGUGUAGCGGUGAAAUGCGUAGAUAUCCGGAGGAACACCGGUGGCGAAGGCGGCUUCCUGGACCGACACUGACGCUGAGGCGCGAAAGCUAGGGGAGCAAACGGG
rnacentral:rRNA from 1 species